AGGAGGGACUCCCGGAGUAGCAACAAACUCAGGAGUGUGAGCCCUAUUACGUGUCUUCAUCCUAUAAGUAGGACGGAUAUUCUCAGCUUGGGCAUUCUGUUCACGAGAGCGACGGGGAGGCAUGAUAACUUUCUAAAACACAAGGAAUCAUUGAUUAGGGGACAUUCAAACUCUACAACACGAACUAAAUCACAAAAGAAGUGAGACAGUCCU
rnacentral:lncRNA from 1 species